CAUGCAGUCGAACGCGUGUAGCAAUACACGAGUGGCGCACGGGUGAGUAACGCGUGGAUAUCUGCCUUUUGGUUCGGAAUAACUCCGGGAAACUGGAGCUAAUACCGGAUGGUUCCUACGGGAUAAAGAUUUAUCGCCAAAAGAUGAGUCCGCGUACGAUUAGCUAGUUGGUGAGGUAAUGGCUCACCAAGGCGACGAUCGUUAGCUGGUCUGAGAGGACGAUCAGCCACACUGGGACUGAGACACGGCCCAGACUCCUACGGGAGGCAGCAGUGGGGAAUAUUGGACAAUGGGGGCAACCCUGAUCCAGCCAUGCCGCGUGAGUGAUGAAGGCCUUCGGGUUGUAAAGCUCUUUUGGCGGGGACGAUGAUGACGGUACCCGCAGAAUAAGCCCCGGCUAACUUCGUGCCAGCAGCCGCGGUAAGACGAAGGGGGCUAGCGUUGUUCGGAAUUACUGGGCGUAAAGCGAGUGUAGGUGGUUGUCAUAGUCAGGUGUGAAAGCCUUGAGCUCAACUCAAGAAAUGCACUUGAUACUGGGCGACUAGAGGACCGGAGAGGAUAGUGGAAUUCCCAGUGUAGUGGUGAAAUACGUAGAGAUUGGGAAGAACACCAGUGGCGAAGGCGGCUAUCUGGACGGUUUCUGACACUAA
rnacentral:rRNA from 1 species